AUUUCAAUUUGUAAGUGGCAACAGAGGAAAAAGUGCCUUCCCAUUGAAGGUGCCAGGAGAAGAAAGAGAGGAAGAAUGGCAGAAUGAGGUCCAAAUCAACCACAGAAAGGUCAGAGUAAUGACAACAGGAAAAAAAAAAAAAAAAAAAAAAAAAAGAAGUAGGGGAAGUAGGAGAGUAGAGGAAUCACUUUGGGGCUAUCACAGCAGCAUCUGAAAUUUUGUCCCUUCUAUUUUUCCUGGAGGCUGUGCAGAGAGCGAGUAGGAAACAACUUCAGCAGAUGGUUUUCAUCACUGCUUCAAUACAAGCACUGUGACCAGAAGAAGAAGUAACGUGGCCAGGAAAUUUCUACCCCUCGGUCAACUUGGUAGCUGCAGUGGUCCAGCCCAAGGAAUAUAGAGGGAAGAUGCAGCAAAUUUCUUAAAGAUGUUUGGAAUAUGAGGAUGUCAGCCAAGUCUCAGAGAACUUGUUGGGGGCUAGUGGCAGCCCUACCUGCAUUUUCUGAUAAGUUCUCUUUUAGAGGGAUUCCCUUUCUAGAGACCUAAAGAGCUUCUCGUUAAUCAGACACUGCUUCUGGGGACAGCUGGAAAACAGAAGAAAAAGGAGGCCCAUCCACUUAGUGUUCCUCAGUAUGAUCUCAAGACUAAACAACUUGCACAGACUUACAAGGGGAGGCCAGUGUUACAAGUGUCAGCAGUGCACAUGCUCACAAUGUUUCAAGAAUGAAAAACUAAUACAACAGAAAAAUCAGACUCAAAAGAUUUGUAUUC
rnacentral:lncRNA from 1 species